rnacentral:rRNA from 1 species
GGGGGCUAGCGUUGCUCGGAAUUAAUGGGCGUAAAGGGCGCGUAGGCGGAUAUCUAAGUCGGGGGUGAAAGCCCAGGGCUCAACCCUGGAAUUGCCUUCGAUACUGGAUAUCUUGAGUACGGGAGAGGUGAGUGGAACUCCGAGUGUAGAGGUGAAAUUCGUAGAUAUUCGGAAGAACACCAGUGGCGAAGGCGACUCACUGGCCCGUUACUGACGCUGAGGCGCGAAAGCGUGGUGAGCGAACAGG